ACGUAAGGGGCGAGCGUUGUCCGGAUUUACUGGGCGUAAAGAGCGCGUAGGCGGCUAGUUAAGUGAGAAGUGAAAUCUCCAGGGCUCAACCCGGAAACUGCUUCGCAGACUGGCAGACUUGAGUGACUCAGAGGUGGAUAGAAUUCCUGGUGUAGCGGUGAAACGCGUUGAUAUCAGGAGGAAUACCGACGGCGAAGGCAGUCCACUGGGAGUCUACUGACGCUGAGGAGCGAAAGUGUGGGUAGCAAACAG
rnacentral:rRNA from 1 species